AAACUUUGUCUCUAUAACUCUUUCCAUGGGUGUUUUGUUCCCAAUUCUAAGAAGGGGCAAAGUGUGCACACUUUGGUCUUCGUUCUUCUUGAGUUUCAUGUGUUUAGCAAAUUGUAUCUUAUAUCUUGGGUAUCCUAAGUUUCUGCGCUAAUAUCCACUGAUCAGUGAGUACAUAUUGUGUGAGUUCCUUUGUGAUUGGGAUACCUCACUCAGGAUGAUGCCCUCCAGGUCCAUCCAUUUGCCUAGGAAUUUCAUAAAUUCAUUAUUUUUAAUAGCUGAGUAGUACUCCAUUGUGUAAAUGUACCACAUUUUCUGUAUCCAUUCCUCUGUUGAGGGGCAUCUGGGUUCUUUACAGCUUCUGGCUAUUAUAAAUAAGGCUGCUAUGAACAUAGUGGAGCACCAUGUGUCCUUCUUACCAGUUGGGACAUCUUCUGGAUAUAUGCCCAGGAGAGGUAUUGUGGGAUCCUCCGGUAGUACUAUGUCCAAUUUUCUGAGGAACCGCCAGACUGAUUUCCAGAGUGGUUGUACAAGCUUGCAAUCCCACCAACAAUGGAGGAGUGUUCCUCUUUCUCCACAUCCUUGCCAGCAGUUGCUGUCACCUAAAUUUUUGAUCUUAGCCAUUCUGACUGGAGUGAAGUAGAAUCUCAGGGUUGUUUUGAUUUGCACUUCCCUGAUGAUUAAGGAUGUUGAACAUUUUUUCAGGUGCUCCUCUGCCAUUCGGUAUUCCUCAGGUGAGAAUUCUUUGUUCAGUUCUGAGCCCCAUUUUUUAAUGGGGUUAUUUGAUUUUCUGAAGUCCACCUUCUUGAGUUCUUUAUAUAUGUUGGAUAUUAGUCCCCUAUCUGAUUUAGGAUAGGUAAAGAUCCUUUCCCAAUCUGUUGGUGGUCUUUUUGUCUUAUUGACGGUGUCUUUUGCCUUGCAGAAACUUUGGAGUUUCAUUAGGUCCCAUUUGUCAAUUCUCGAUCUUACAGCACAAGCCAUUGCUGUUCUGUUCAGGAAUUUUUCCCCUGUGCCCAUAUCUUCAAGGCUUUUCCCCACUUUCUCCUCUAUAAGUUUCAGUGUCUCUGGUUUUAUGUGAAGUUCUUUGAUCCAUUUAGAUUUGACCUUAGUACAAGGAGAUAGAAAUGGAUCAAUUCACAUUCUUCUACAUGAUAACCGCCAGUUGUGCCAGCACCAUUUGUUGAAAAUGCUGUCUUUUUUCCACUGGAUGGUUUUAGCUCCCUUGUCAAAGAUCAGGUGACCAUAGGUGUGUGGAUUCAUCUCUGGGUCUUUAAUUCUGUUCCAUUGGUCUACUUGUCUGUCACUAUACCAGUACCAUGCAGUUUUGAUCAGAAUUGUUCUCUAGUACAGUUUUAGGUCUGGCAUGGUGAUUCCACCAGAGGUUCUUUUAUCCUUGAGAAGAGUUUUUGCUAUCCUAGGUUUUUUGUUAUUCCAGAUGAAUCUGCCUAUUGCCCUUUCUAAUUCGUUGAAGAAUUGAGUUGGAAUUUUGAUGGGGAUUGCAUUGAAUCUGCAGAUUGCUUUUGGCAAGAUAGCCAUUUUUACAAUGUUGAUCCUGCCAAUCCAUGAACAUGGUAGAUCUUUCCAUCUUCUGAGAUCUUCUUUCAUUUCUUUCUUCAGAGACUUUAAGUUCUUAUCAUACAGAUCUUUUACUUCCUUAGAGUCAUGCCAAGAUAUUUUAUAUUAUUUGUGACUAUUGAGAAGGGUGUUGUUUCCCUAAUUUCUUUCUCAGCCUGUUUAUCCUUUGUGUACAGAAAGGCCAUUGACUUGUUUGAGUUAAUUUUAUAUCCAGCUACUUCAUUGAAGCUGUUUAUUAGGCUUAGGAGUUCUCUGGUGGAAUUUUUAGGGUCACUUAUAUAUACUAUCAUAUCAUCUGCAAAAAGUGAUAUUUUGACUUCUUCCUUUCCAAUUUGUAUCCUCUUGAUCUCCUUUUGUUGUCGAAUUGCUCUGGCUAGGACUUCAAGUACAAUGUUGAAUAGGUAGGGAGAGAAUGGACAUGCUUGUCUAGUCCCUGAUUUUAGUGGGAUUGCUUCCAGCUUCUCACCAUUUACUUUGAUGUUGGCUACUGGUUUGCUGUAGAUUGCUUUUAUCAUGUUUAGGUAUGGGCCUUGGAUUCCUGAUCUUUCCAAGACUUUUAUCAUGAAUGGGUGUUGGGUCUUGUAAAAUGUUUUCUCCGUAUCUAACAAGAUGAUCAUGUGGUUUUUGUCUUUGAGUUUGUUUAUAUACUGGAUUACGUUGAUGGAUUUCCAUAUAUUGAACCAUUCGUGGGAUGAAACCUACUUGGUCAGGAUGGAUGAUUGUUUUGGUGUAUUCUUGGAUUCAGUUAGCGAGAACUUUAUUGAGGAUUUUUGCAUCUAUAUUCAUAAGGGAAAUUGGUCUGAAGUUCUCUAUCUUUGUUGGGUCAUUUUGUGGUUUAGGUAUCAGAGUAAUUGUGGCUUCAUAGAAUGAGUUAGGUAUAGUACCUUCUGUUUCUAUUUUGUGGAAUAGUUUGUGAAGAACUGGGAUUAGAUCUUCUUUAAAGGUCUGAUAGAACUCUGCACUAAACCCAUCUGCUCCUGGGCUUUUUGUGGUUGGGAGACUAUUAAAGACUGCUUCUAUUUCUUUAGGGGAUAUAGGACUGUUUAGAUCAUUAACCUGAUCCUGAUUUAACUUUGUUACCUGGUAUCUGUCUAGAAAUUUGUUCAUUUCAUCCAGGUUUUACAAAUCAAUUUUUAUUGACUAAUAGGCUAAACAUAUUCAACUUAUGGGCGAUAUGGUAGAAAAAUAUGUGGCUUUUAGGAAAAUGAAUAGGAAUCAAUUUUUCUUUAACUCUUUACAUUGAUGAAUCAAGAUAAAAAUUUUAAAAUAGUUAACUACCAACAUGUGUCUUAAAAAAAAUCCAAUGAUUCAUCAGUUGGAUUGUGUUAGCUUUAAAUAGACGAUAUAUGUAAGUUGUAGAAAUUAAUAUUUUCCACAUGGGUGUGAUUUGGUCUUAAUAAAGGUGAAUAAAUUACUGAAGUUUUACAGGAUGCUAUCAAAAUUUAAUUAUGAUUACUAAUAUAAUUUUCUCCUUAGACUUUGACACACAAAUAAAUUUUUACAUGUUAAAGCAUGUAUGUCAACUUUUACACAGAACAUAGAAAAGAAAUAAAAGCCUAGAAUGAUGGCUCAGCUAUUAAAAGCACUGGCUAUUUUUCUAGAAAGAAAAUAAAAAAUCUGUGUUUGAUUCCCAGCACUCACAUAUUGGCUCACAACUGUCUGUAACUCCAGUUCCAAGGGAUCUGACACUUUCUUCUGCCCCUUACGGAUACUAAGCAUACAUGUUGUAUGCAAACAUAAAUGCAGGUAGUAUACACAUAUACAUAAAUUAAAAGUAAGUAAAUAUUUUUACAAAGU
rnacentral:lncRNA from 1 species